UGUAAGCGUAUACCAAAGUUGUUGCAGUUAAAACGCUCGUAGUCGGAACUUGGCAGUUCCGGAUGUGUGCACGUCGUGUGCGCACUUCGCGGGGAUUGCUUUUGUGGUCUUGCGUAGGAUGAGGCACUUUUAUUAGUGAACGUCCUCACGCAACCACUUUUUACUGUGAGAAAAUCAGAGUGCUCAAAGCAGGCAUUUGCCGUGAAUGUAUUAGCAUGGAAUAAUAGAAUAGGACUUGGUUCUAUUUUGUUGGUUUGUUGGGACUGAGUAAUGAUUAAGAGGGACAGUUGGGGGCAUUUGUAUUUCGGUGCUAGAGGUGAAAUUCUUAGAUUACCGAAAGACAAACUGCUGCGAAAGCGUCUGCCAAGGAUGUUUUCAUUGA
rnacentral:rRNA from 1 species